rnacentral:rRNA from 1 species
UCCAAAUUAUAAAUUAAUGUGAUUUACCAGAGUAUUACGAGUCUAAAAACUUAAAACUCAAAGGGCUUGGCGGUACUUUAUACCAUUCAGGGGAACCUGUCUCGUAAUCGACAAUCCACGUUAUACCUUACCUUUUUUUGUUUUUUCAGUUUGUAUACCGUCGUCGUUCAGGCAACUUUUAAAAAUAUAGUAGUUGACAAGUAAGAUUUAUAUAGUCUUGGACGUCAGAUCAAGGUGCAGCUUAUGAAAAGGAGAGGAUGGGUUACAAUUAAAAUUUAUAAUUACGGAACAAAUAUUUUAAUAUUUUUGGGAAGGAGGACUUGAAAGUAAGAAUUUAUAUAUAAGUUUUUUGAAUUUGGCUCUGGGGUGUGC